GACGAACCGUGCGAACGUUAUUCGGAAUCAUUGGGCUUAAAGCGCGUGUAGGCGGAUGGGCACGUCGGCUUUGAAAGCCCCCGGCUCAACCGGGGAAUUGGCGCCGAAACGGCCCGUCUGGAGGGGCAUAGGGGGAGCUGGAACUUCCGGUGGAGCGGUGAAAUGCGUUGAGAUCGGAAGGAACGCCCGUGGCGAAAGCGAGCUCCUGGAUGUCUUCUGACGCUGAGACGCGAAAGCUAGGGUAGCGAACGGG
rnacentral:rRNA from 1 species